rnacentral:rRNA from 1 species
GAUGAACGCUAGCUACAGGCUUAACACAUGCAAGUCGAGGGGCAGCAUGGUCUUAGCUUGCUAAGGCCGAUGGCGACCGGCGCACGGGUGAGUAACGCGUAUCCAACCUGCCUUACACUCUUGGACAGCCUUCUGAAAGGGAGAUUAAUACAAGAUGUUAUCAUGAGUAAGCAUUUUCGCAUGAUUAAAGGUUUACCGGUGUAAGAUGGGGAUGCGUUCCAUUAGAUAGUAGGCGGGGUAACGGCCCACCUAGUCUUCGAUGGAUAGGGGUUCUGAGAGGAAGGUCCCCCACAUUGGAACUGAGACACGGUCCAAACUCCUACGGGAGGCAGCAGUGAGGAAUAUUGGUCAAUGGACGAGAGUCUGAACCAGCCAAGUAGCGUGAAGGAUGAAGGUUCUAUGGAUUGUAAACUUCUUUUAUACGGGAAUAAACGAAUCCACGCGUGGAUUUUUGCAUGUACCGUAUGAAUAAGGAUCGGCUAACUCCGUGCCAGCAGCCGCGGUAAUACGGAGGAUCCGAGCGUUAUCCGGAUUUAUUGGGUUUAAAGGGAGCGUAGAUGGGUUGUUAAGUCAGUUGUGAAAGUUUGCGGCUCAACCGUAAAAUUGCAAUUGAUACUGGCAGUCUUGAGUACAGUUGAGGUAGGCGGAAUUCGUGGUGUAGCGGUGAAAUGCUUAGAUAUCACGAAGAACUCCGAUUGCGAAGGCAGCUUACUAACCUGUAACUGACAUUGAUGCUCGAAAGUGUGGGUAUCAAACAGGAUUAGAUACCCUGGUAGUCCACACGGUAAACGAUGAAUACUCGCUGUAGGCGAUAUACAGUCUGCGGCCAAGCGAAAGCAUUAAGUAUUCCACCUGGGGAGUACGCCGGCAACGGUGAAACUCAAAGGAAUUGACGGGGGCCCGCACAAGCGGAGGAACAUGUGGUUUAAUUCGAUGAUACGCGAGGAACCUUACCCGGGCUUAAAUUGCAACCGAAUAUGGCGGAAACGCUAUAGCUAGCAAUAGCGGUUGUGAAGGUGCUGCAUGGUUGUCGUCAGCUCGUGCCGUGAGGUGUCGGCUUAAGUGCCAUAACGAGCGCAACCCUUGCCGAUAGUUACUAACAGGUUAUGCUGAGGACUCUGUCGGGACUGCCAUCGUAAGAUGUGAGGAAGGUGGGGAUGACGUCAAAUCAGCACGGCCCUUACGUCCGGGGCUACACACGUGUUACAAUGGGGGGUACAGAGGGCUGCUACCACGCAAGUGGAUGCCAAUCCCAAAAACCUCUCUCAGUUCGGAUUGAAGUCUGCAACCCGACUUCAUGAAGCUGGAUUCGCUAGUAAUCGCGCAUCAGCCACGGCGCGGUGAAUACGUUCCCGGGCCUUGUACACACCGCCCGUCAAGCCAUGGGAGCCGGGGGUACCUGAAGUGCGUAACCGCAAGGAGCGCCCUAGGGUA